rnacentral:lncRNA from 1 species
GUUGGGGUUAGUGUCAGGGGUUAGAUGCCGCGAAUUUACUGAUUAUGAUAAAUUCAAAAUGUGCCACGAAUUUAAUCAUAAUGAUAAAUUCGAACGUGUUUAAGAAUUUGCUCGUAUAGUAAAUUCAAAGGUGGAGUUCAUGCUGAAUAUAUAUAGUAUGUAUGAGCACGCUCUUAUAGUUAUAUGCAGCUAUUAAAUCAGUCAAAAAAGGUUGGCCUUUGCAAACCCUAAACUCUAAAUUAAACCUUCAACCUUAAACUCUAAGCGUGCAAAGCAUGAUGGGAGCAUAAUUUAAUCAGUUUAGAAAUCAUAUAUGGGGCCAUUUUUAGAGGCAUGGUAAAUAUCUCCUUACGAGAACAAUUCAUUCACUGGCCAUGGGCGUACUGG